UGCUGGGUGAAUACUAAAACUCAGUAGGCACUGCCCGGUGCCCAGCGUGGUUAACGGCGGUUGACAAGCCUUAAAGUAGCUAAAUACCUAGUCUCUUAAUUAGAGACGCGCAUGAAGUGUUAGACGAGGGAGCGACUGUCUCUAACGAGUGUUUUUGAAAUCGAACUCCAGGUGAAAUUGCCUGGGUGGUCCCAAAAGACGAGAAGACCCCGUGCAGCUUUAUUUAAGCAUGGUAGUAUUCUGUGUGACUGUUUGGUUGGGGCAACAGGGGAAUAAGAAAAACUUCCAUGAAGAAGGUAACGACUGGUGGGUUAUCGAGCCAGAUUGUGACCGAUCGAAAGGUGAGUUACGCCGGGGAUAACAGCGUGCUUUUGGAACGGAGGACGCAUUAGUUCCUGAGAAGACGACCUCGAUGUUGAAUCAGGGGGAGCCCGAGGCGCAGCCGCUCGGAGUGUCGGGUCUGUUCGUCCUUUAGACCCCU
rnacentral:rRNA from 1 species